CCUACGGGUGGCAGCAGUGAGGAAUAUUGGUCAAUGGUCGCGAGCCUGAACCAGCCAAGCCGCGUGAAGGAUGACUGCCCUGCGGAUUGUAAACCUCUUUUAUCAAGGAAUAAAGUGAGGCACGUGUCCCUUUUUGUGUGUACUUUAUGAAUAAGGAUCGGCUAACUCCGUGCCAGCAGCCGCGGUAAUACGGAGGAUCCGAGCGUUAUCCGGAUUUAUUGGGUUUAAAGGGAGCGUAGAUGGGUUGUUAAGGCAGUUGUGAAAGUUUGCGGCUCAACCGUAAAAUUGCAAGUGAUCCUGGCAGUCGUGAGUACAGGUGAGGUAGGCGGAAUGCGUGGUGUAGCGGUGAAAUGCGUAGAUAUCACGAAGAACUCCGAUUGCGAAGGCAGCUUACUAA
rnacentral:rRNA from 1 species